rnacentral:tRNA from 1 species
UCGUGAGGUUCAAGUCCCUCUAUCCCCA